rnacentral:ncRNA from 2 species
GUUCGUUUUGUUCUCGAGCGCUCUCUUCCUGAAAAAAUUUCUGUGAAGAAAACGCCUCUGGGUGAAACUGGAAACGGUUUUACCUCCCGAACCUUCAGGAAGAAACGUGAAGGGGAAUUGGAAAGGGAAUACAGAUGACCCAUG